AAGUCGUAACAAGGUUUUCGUAGGUGAACCUGCGUAAGGAUCAUUAUCGAUGAUUGCAUGCCAUGGGUGGCAAAGAAGUGAAAGUCCUGGCGACCAUGGCUCAUGGAUGGCGUCAGGCGGCUUGCAUGGCUAUGCGAAGCGACGACGACGCCGGCGCUCGGGUGUAGCGGCGUGGUGGCGCAGUGGCCACGUCGUGGAGCGCCAGAAGGCGUCCUCUGUGUCCGGCUUUUAAGUUAGAGAAGGGUGCCCGUUUGAAGGCAGUGCUGCGCGCUGGAGGCACUGCUGGGCCGUAAGGUCGGC
rnacentral:misc_RNA from 1 species